AAAAUAUUAAUUGAUGUAUUGAAAAAAAACUACACACCUUCAUCUCAUAUCUUGUUCAAGUUUUGGUAAAUAUUUCUAUCGGUAUGUUGCAAUUUCAAUGCGAAACAGAACUUGCCUAAUCAUGAUGCCGCAUUUUCCGCUGUCAUUUUUAUUGAAAUGGAUAUAAUUCUUUAUAAGGAAUCGAAUGGUGUUACUUAGUAUCAAUCUGCGGAAAGUUAAGGUUCGGAAUUCCGAACGAAACAUUUUUGGGAGAGUAACGAUUUUACGAAAAUUUAAUCAAAAUACAUGCCAUGUAAUGAAUAUUCGCUCAUGAAUUGUUAUAUUUUCACCUUUCGGUCCUUCAUUUUAAUGGAUAAAAAUGAUAUUUUAAUGUAUGAAA